AGUGAACGCUGGCGGUAGGCCUAGCACAUGCAAGUCGAACGGCAGCACAGUAAGAGCUUGCUCUUACGGGUGGCGAGUGGCGGACGGGUGAGGAAUACAUCGGAAUCUACUUUUUCGUGGGGGAUAACGUAGGGAAACUUACGCUAAUACCGCAUACGACCUACGGGUGAAAGCAGGGGAUCUUCGGACCUUGCGCGAUUGAAUGAGCCGAUGUCGGAUUAGCUAGUUGGCGGGGUAAAGGCCCACCAAGGCGACGAUCCGUAGCUGGUCUGAGAGGAUGAUCAGCCACACUGGAACUGAGACACGGUCCAGACUCCUACGGGAGGCAGCAGUGGGGAAUAUUGGACAAUGGGCGCAAGCCUGAUCCAGCCAUACCGCGUGGGUGAAGAAGGCCUUCGGAUUGUAAAGCCCUUUUGUUGGGAAAGAAAAGCAGCGGGUUAAUACCCCGCUGUUCUGACGGUACCCAAAGAAUAAGCACCGGCUAACUUCGUG
rnacentral:rRNA from 1 species